rnacentral:rRNA from 1 species
UACGUAGGCAGCAAGCGUUGUUCGGAGUUACUGGGCGUAAAGAGUGCGUAGGCGGUUUCGUAAGUUUGGUGUGAAAUCUCCCGGCUUAACUGGGAGGGUGCGCCGAAAACUGCGGGGCUGGAGUGUGGGGGAGGUAAGCGGAAUUCCUGGUGUAGCGGUGAAAUGCGUAGAUAUCAGGAGGAACACCGGCGGUGUAGACGGCUUACUGGACCAUGACUGACGCUGAGGCACGAAAGCGUGGGGAGCAAACAGG